GGGGAACGACCACCAAACACCCAGUUAUGCUGUACAAAAAGAGAGUGAGAGAGAGAGUGAGAGCGCGGCGCGUGAGAGCCGGGCAGGUAACUUGUGCUGUUAUGGGGUGGAUCUUGUUUGAGUCGCCACUCAAUCUCUCUCCCGCUCAGGCCAGACUUGUAUUUGCUCUUGUGCAUGUUGGGAGAGGGAGAGAGAGCGCGUGCUAAACAUGAUUUAAUGGACGCAUCGGCAUGGAAGCUGUGCUCCCAAAAAGGGUGACAAUUCACUUCAGCGGGGGGACUGGGCGCGAGGAAGGGCGACGUGACUCACUAGUGAUGCCACCACAUGAUGGUCCUUUGAAAGUGAAGCUAAAAGAAAUUGCAGCAGCUGCAGCUAAUUAUCCACUGGCCUGGCUUGAGUGAUGUGGUGGCAGCCAGGAAAGGAAUGUUAUUUGUGUGCCAGUCUGGCAACGCCGCCGCUCUUGAUGUUGCAACUGCAGUUGAGCAUCUCUGUUGCGCUCCCUCUCAGCAACAGCAUCCCAUAUUCCCAUAUUCGAAACAUUUUUUGUGUGUUGCUGUGUGCUGGUGUUUGUGUUUUCUUUGCAGUGCGACAAGUUCUUGGAACCCGUGCAGUACAAUGGAGUUGGUUGUGUGUGGAUGCUGGAGUUGUUUGAAGUUGGAGUUGGGGUUGCAGUUGCAGUCAACAAAGAAACAAGUCACCAAGAGAUACAUAGGAGAUGGCCAGGGAGCGAACCGUAUGGAGCAGGAGAGCAAAGUUGAGACAAAGGCUAAGAGAGGAUGGAACCCGGCUUUCACUGCAUUUCUAUAGUACUUUGAAACACACUCACGCACACGCACACACACACACACACCCAAACAGACACACACAGGCGCUGAUUAUAUCCAACGAUUUAUUUACCUGUAUGUCCCAGGCAUUGAGUAUGGAAGGAAACGUGAUUAGAGCGACUCUCCCAUGGUAUACUACAUUUAGCGGGAUUUUCCCCUGAAGCAUAGAGGCAGACAGACAGAGACAGAGAGAGAGGCCGAGCCUCGACGACUACCUGUUACACUCGUUCUCGUUGAUGUUGCUCUCCUUCUCAUUGUUGGUAUUUUUACCUUUUGCUUUGUCUUCUUUCGUUUGCCUCUUUACCUGUUUCUUCUUUCUUUCGAGUCCGACACCGUCCAUAAAUUCCGAAACCCAGCGCCAGACGACCCAUCGUUAGGGUCCACGACACUAUUGAAACUAUCUUAAGUUUUAAAUUAAGAAAUCCAAUGGCUUAUCUAUAUCAUAAAUGGUGUUAUAUAUAGUGUACACAUGACGCAAUCAAGAAGCCACUUCAACUCCAACAAGUCGACAACUUGAUUAGCAAUUAGCCAAAUUUUGGAUCGUAUUCGUUUCAGUCCGACCCAAAACCCGCGUAGUGCUCAAAGAACGGGGGCAAAACAUGAGAAAUGAGUCCUCCCAUUAGGCGUACGGCAAUUAAUAAUGAUUGCCGUCAACAACCUGAGAGACGAGCCAAUAAAAAUCAGUUAUAAAACCAUUAAGUCGAUACACAAGCGGACAUACGAGUGAGUAGAAGAUACAUUGCUGAUACGGCUACUGUCCGGGCUAUAAAUAGCCCCAGAAAAACCGCAACGAACCGAAUCGAAAACCAAACCCGAGACCGAAGCCUUAAUUGUCUAACGCCCGUGUAUCAAUCAGAUGGAAUGGGGGCUCCCUAUCCCCCCAUUCUCAAGUUUCGCACAAGUGUUCAAAGGAGAAAAUGGUAUCGUAUAAGACUCGCUCGAUUGUAAAUUUCCAAAAUAUAUGAUGAGAACGACAACAUUUCACAUGAUUUAUGGUUUAUCUCUACUUCAGUCUGUGAUUUCUUUAUUAAUUGACCAAUUGCCGGAUCUUAGUCAUCCAUCUACGUGAGGAGCCCAACGAAUGUCGGACAAUCAUCCAAGAAAAUUCCCCGAAAAUUCUCUGCGUCACUAUAUUAAAAUCAAGCUACGCCUGCGCUGAGCCUCUCUCUCGCUCUCUUGGUUUUUGCACACUCAAGAGGAGCUCUCUAAAAAGACAGUGCUGUUGGGCCUGCCAAUGAUCCACUCUCUCGCCGCUCCCUCGGUUUGGCUAUCUUAUAGAUACUUGGAUACACUCGUACUUUGUUUUGUUUGCCUAAUCAGUUUCUCGUGUCGGCGUCGCUUUGAGUGCAGCGCCACCAUUAAAGCCAUCGAAUCAAGUUCAUUUCGCAUACGAUUCUCCAUUAAGCCCUAUGAAUAAUUGGCAACAGGUGGCGAUUACCCCAAAAACGUCUUCGAGGUCUUCUUUUUCGUGCGGGGGAAGGGAGCUAAUGGCAAAAGGUAUGCUCUUGAAAACGUUUAUCAAUCUAAGACCCCUAGAAAUGUAUAUUCUCCAAAGGUCAAAGCCAAGGAAUCGUGAAAUCAUGGAACUUUAUACGCAUUACUCCUACGACAGGUAAUGUGGUUCAUUUAUUGAAUAUUCUAUGAAAAUUUGAGAGCAGUAUUCCUUUCAACGGAUACAAAUAUUCUGAGAAGAAAAAGUACCUCGCUUAUAACUCAUAGCUCUUAAUUUUAAUAAACAUGUUAAAUUUAAGGAGAAAAUAAAUUGAAAUUUAAAUAACAUGAA